AGUACAAUAAGCUAAAUAAGGGCGUAUGGAGGAUGCCUAGGCUUUCAGAGGCGACGAAGGACGCGAUAAGCUGCGAUAAGUUACGGGGAGUGGCACAUACAUUAUGAUCCGUAAAUUUCCGAAUGGGGCAACCCGGUAUAUUGAAGAUAUAUCACACCGCAAGGUGAGCAAACCCGGAGAACUGAAACAUCUAAGUACCCGGAGGAGAAGAAAACAAAAGUGAUUCCGCUAGUAGCGGCGAGCGAACGCGGAAUAGCCCAAACCAAUAUUGUUACGGCAAUAUUGGGGUUGUAGGACUACAAUAUUCGAAGCAUAGAGAACUAGAAUAGUUUGGAAAGACUGACCAGAGAGAGUGAUAGUCUCGUAUAGGUAAUCGAAGUUAAGAUAGUAGUAUCCUGAGUAGUGCGGGACACGUGUAAUCCUGUAUGAAUCUGGCGGGACCAUCCGCCAAGGCUAAAUACUCCUGAAAGACCGAUAGUGAACUAGUACCGUGAGGGAAAGGUGAAAAGAACCCUAAGUAAGGGAGUGAAAUAGAACCUGAAACCGUACGCCUACAAGCGGUCGGAGCAUCUACGGAUGUGACGGCGUGCCUUUUGCAUAAUGAGCCUACGAGUUACUGUUACUAGCAAGGUUAAGAAUUUAAGGUUCGGAGCCGAAGCGAAAGCGAGUCUGAAUAGGGCGCUUAAGUUAGUAGUAGUAGACGCGAAACCGAGUGAUCUACCCAUGGGCAGGUUGAAGCUGUGGUAACACACAGUGGAGGACCGAACCAGUUGACGUUGAAAAGUCUUUGGAUGACCUGUGGGUAGGGGUGAAAGGCCAAUCAAACUCGGAAAUAGCUCGUACUCCCCGAAAUGCAUUUAGGUGCAGCGUUGAUUAAAAGUUUUAUAGAGGUAGAGCUACUGAUUGGAUGCGGGGGCUUCACCGCCUACCAAUUCCUGACAAACUCCGAAUGCUAUAAAAUGUUUAUCAGCAGUGAGGGCAUGGGUGCUAAGGUCCAUGUCCGAGAGGGAAAGAACCCAGACCAUCAGCUAAGGUCCCCAAAUAUAUGUUAAGUUGAAAAAACGAGGUGAAACUGCUUAGACAGCUAGGAUGUUGGCUUGGAAGCAGCCAUUCAUUUAAAGAGUGCGUAACAGCUCACUAGUCGAGCGGUUUUGCAUGGAUAAUAAUCGGGCAUAAACAUAUUACCGAAGCUAUGGACUUUAAAAGUGGUAGGGGAGCAUUCUAUUUGUGUAGAAGGUGGACUGUGAGGUCUGCUGGAACGGAUAGAAAAGAAAAUGUAGGCAUAAGUAACGAUAAUGCAGGUGAGAAACCUGCACACCGAAAGACUAAGGUUUCCUCAGCGAUGCUAAUCAGCUGAGGGUUAGUCGGGACCUAAGGCGAAUCCGAAGGGAGUAGUCGAUGGACAACAGGUUAAUAUUCCUGUACUUCUUAUAAAUGCGAUGGGGUGACGGAGUAAUGAACCCGCCGCGAGCUGACGGAAUAGCUCGUUGAAACAUGUAGGUAUUAGUUCUGUAGGCAAAUCCGCAGAACUAGCUAAAGUGUGAUAGUACCACAACUCUUCGGAAGCGUGGAUAGUGCGGUUAAGAACUUCCAAGAAAAACCUCUAAGCUCUAGUUUAUAAGAACCCGUACCGUAAACCGACACAGGUAGUUGGGAUGAGAAUUCUAAGGUGCUCGAGAGAUUCAUGGCUAAGGAACUAGGCAAAAUCGACCUGUAACUUCGGGAGAAAGGUCGCCUACUUCGGUAGGCCGCAGUGAAAAGAUCCAGGCGACUGUUUAUCAAAAACACAGGGCUAUGCUAAAUUGAAAGAUGAUGUAUAUGGCCUGACACCUGCCCGGUGCUGGAAGGUUAAGUGGAGGGUUUAGCUUCGGCGAAGAUCUCAAAUGAAGCCCCAGUAAACGGCGGCCGUAACUAUAACGGUCCUAAGGUAGCGAAAUUCCUUGUCGGGUAAGUUCCGACCUGCACGAAUGGUGCAACGAUCUGGAUACUGUCUCAGCCAUGAGCUCGGUGAAAUUGUAGUAUCGGUGAAGAUGCCGAUUACCCGCAGCGGGACGAAAAGACCCCGUGAACCUUUACUAUAGCUUCGUAUUGACUUUGGAUAAGUAAUGUGUAGGAUAGGUGGGAGACAAUGAAGUGGCGUCGCUAGGCGUUGUGGAGUCGUCCUUGAAAUACCACCCUUUGCUUAUCUAGAGCCUAACUCAGCGAUGAGAAACAGUGCGUGGUGGGUAGUUUGACUGGGG
rnacentral:rRNA from 1 species